AAGCCUUUCAUUUCAAGCAUGCAUUUACUUUAAAGGCUGCUCUGACAGCAUCGCGUCUCUGUCCAAGCGUGUUAACCAAGUGGAUUUACAAAGAUACAAUUAAAAAUAGUUUAGAUUUUUUAUAGCAUUUUUAUGUUUAAAAAAAUCUUACAUUAUUUUGAUUCCAUAUCUGAAUAGAUAUAUUGCCAGUCAAUAUAUCUUUAUUAUGCGUGUUUACCAGGUACUCAACUAUUUGUGAAUUCCUCUGGGCAGCUCACGUGUUACAAAUGGGCGGAUUCGAUACAAACGACUGCAACAUUUGUUAGAAAUGUUCAAUUUAGCGUUUGGAUAGAAACUUCACAGGAAGAGGUCUUGAAUACGGAUGUAACCCAAUGACCAAUGUCGCGAGCGGUAACGAACGGUUUGCCCAGUCAUUUGUGAUUUGACAAAUGUUUCUCCCAACAUUGUGACAGGCUAGUUGUACUUUCUUUCCUUAAGACGUGCUUUGGAUUUCUCUUCUACAUCCAACGAUUUGGACCAGUAGCCUAAUUACCGGGCAGAAACCAAGACAUGGGGACUCAGGGCACGGGACGUAAAAGAAAUCCCAAUAAGGACAGGUCGACGGCUGAGGAUGAUACCCUUAAUCUCAUUGCAAGAGAGGCAGAGGGCAGGCUUGCUCUGAAGAAGGCGGCCAGGGCAGAGGCCAGAGAAAUCCGUAUGAAGGAGCUGGAGAGACAACAGGAGGAGGAGGACAGUGAGAGGGACUCUCGCCCCUCACAGAGACAUACCUCGAUCUCAGACGAUGAUGAGCCGAUGCCGGUGGGCAGCCGAGGCAGUGCGAGGGUGGAGGACAGAGAUUUCCUGGAAAAGGGAUCUCAAUCCGCUUCCACCCUCGCUUCACUCAGCGGGUCUUCCUCCAGGAGAGGAAGUGGCGAAUCGUCGAUCACUGGCGACACAGACACCUCCAUACUAGAGAUCAAGGAUUCCCUUGUGGAGUUGGAGGAGAAGUACCGCAAGGCCAUGGUGUCCAACGCCCAGCUGGACAAUGAGAAGAACAACCUGAUGUACCAGGUAGACAGGCUGAAGGACUCGCUCAUGGAGCUGGAAGAGCUGCUGUCCGAGUCACGCCGCGAGUACGAUGGAAAGACCAAGGACAUUGAGCGUGAGCAACAUGCCUACGGCGUGCUCCAGUGCCAGUUCAACGUGAUGAAAGAAACGCUAAAACAGAGCGAGGAGUUACUAACGGAGGUCUGUCAGUUGCGUCUCAAGCAGGACAGCUUUGUUAGGGAAAUCUCUGACCUGCAGGAAACAGAGUGGAAGGAUAAAAAGAUUGAGGCCUUAGAGCAACAGAAGGAGUAUUCGGACGCCGUCAAAAAUGAUCGAGAUGAGCUCAGGGAUGAGCUGGUCCAGCUGAAAGAUAUUCUGAAGAAACAUGGAAUUGUCCUCGGACCUGACCUGACCACCAAUGGGGAAAAGGUGGAGGUGGUAACUGAAAGGUCAGCUAGUAGAGAUCCAGCUUCUCAAUUGGCUCAGGACUCCCAGACAUCACCCACGGAAGGGGGGAACAUCAUGCUCGGCAGACCUCAGGAUAUGGAAUUGGGGAGUAGAGGAGAUAAGAUGGUGGAUCCAGGAAGGUCCAGGCAGCAAGUGGAAACACAUGAGGCGGUUCAAGAGAACCAUCUGACCUCGCCCACUUCCUGUAGCCUCGCUGGUGUUUCUGAAACCGAAACUUCUUUGGAGGCUCGGCCAUGCUCGCCCAAAUUGCGGGAUGGGGUUGAGAUUGAAUGCAGUAAUGUCAACAAAGUCUCUGACAAUGUCAUACCGGUAGUAGAGGUCAAGCAUGGACCGGUUUGCGAUUCUGAGGUAAUUGUGGUUGUAACAGUUCCUGAGGAAGAGCUUACAGAAGAGGGAUACAAACCACCAGGCAUAGAGGGGACAGUGCAAGGGAGAGUAGAGGCCACAAACAAAUGGGAAAUGGUAAUAAAAAAUGACAAGGCAGAUGAUAUGGAGACCAAAGUCGCCAAGAGUAGUGAUCACACAAAAGAGCCUACCUCAGAAUAUGGUGCAUUAGCUGAACAAGAUAAUAUAGCAUUGAGUAAAGAGUUUGUGAAAAGUAUAGACUCGUGUCCUCAGCCUAGGGAAACCAUUGAGGACACCAUACAGAAUGGCACACAGAUUAGCCCAGGGACUGACCAUGAUACUCGUAAGAGCACAAUAAAAUCAGAAUGUAAGCCUCAACCUAAGCUUCAGAAAACAAAGGCAGAAGCGUUAUCAAAGUCAACUGACCCUCAGCCACAGGCCCAAGGAGGCAAGAAGAAGAAGAAGAAAGGCAAGAAGGGAGAGAGACAAGGUGAUGAAAAGCAGGAAGACAAUAAGAAGAGCACAACAGAAAAGGGUGUAGUCUCCAUGAAGAAUUGCACACCGAUUCCCCAAGGGACAAACCUUGAUACUACUAAGAGCCCAGUCGAAUCAAAGUCUGAGCUUCAGAAAACAAAAAAGGCUGAAGUGUUGCCAGAGACCACUGACAUGCAGCCACAGGCCCAAGGAGGCAAAAAGAAGAAGAAAGGCAAGAAGGGAGAGACACAAGGUGAUGAAAAGCAGGGAGAUGAUAAGAAGAAGAGCAAAACAGAAAAGGAUGUGGACUCAAUCUCAACAAAUAAGGAGCCAGUAGUGGAGGAAGUUAUCACAAUAGACACACAGCAGCUUCUAGAGGAGGGGACCGGUAGUUCACCAAAUCGAGAACUCCAAAGCCCUAAAGAAAGAGCACAAACCAUAGCUGAGGGAGGGAACCUGAAGGAAGAACAACAACUAGCAGAGGGCCGAGUAGAGGUUAAGAGUGAGGAGCCUCCCAUUGAAACCCAAGAAGUAUCUCUGACUGACCAAGCCAAGAGUGAGGAAGCUGUCAAAAAGAAAAAGGACAAACAAGAACCUUCCAUGGAAUCAGAGAAAUCAGAAGGCGAGAUAUCAGUAUUAUGCCAUGAGUGCGACAUUGGUAUUGUGGAUCCUGUUGACCAGCAAUGUAUAACCAAUUGUAUAACCAGUGCUGAUAACCCUAAAGAGAAAUUAGAAUCCACAACAAAUACUGGUACCCAAAAAGACGAGUCAGGGUACACAGCCAACCCUGAUAACUUUGUAGACUGCCUGAACUCUUCAGCUGACCCGAAAUGUCCAUUGAACUUGAAAGAGUCCACUGCUGGGAAUUCAAACAAUGUCAAAGAAGAAGAUGCAAUCAAGGUCUCAGUUGAUGAGGCUCAAACAAUCCAAGACACAAAGGAACAGGGAAUUAACUUUCACAGUCGCAUAGUUUUAAGACCGGCGCUCGAGAAGACCAUGGUACCUGAAGACCUUAUCGCCAAUGAUAGUGUCACUACUCACCCAGAGCAUGUUACCGAAAAUGCCAUAAAAUACCUGAAAGUGGCAGGUCAGGAUGAACAAAAUGGGAGCCCAGAUGAGUGUAAAAAUACACUUGAACAUAAAGACAUUUCGAAAGCAUUGCCAGCAAAUGUAGAUAAAUGCAAAAAUGUAUCAGGAGAGAACUGUGGCACAUCGCUCGACAGCAACUGCCCUGCUGCUGAGACCAUAAGACAGCCUGAACAAUUGAUGGAUCUACCUGGUUGUCCAGUCGCUGACAAGCACUUAGAUGAAAACAACGAGCCAGUAACACUUGAUGAAGAAAAGGUAUCAAAUGGCGGGAUCUCCACAGAGACCGAGCUGAAUGAUACAGAAACACGACUACAGGACCCUGUAAAAGAAACUCCGGAGACAAUUGACUCUUUUAGGGAACAUGGCUACAAAGAAAGCAAACCAUGCACUAUGGUGGCCGAAGCAGAAGAGCAAGACGAUCCCAUUGAGGCCACGCUGGAGGGUGACAAGGUACCUGGACCCAGUGAGCAGGGGAAUGAUGAGGGGGACGAUGAUAUCGAUGAGGGUCAAUCGUUUGACUUUAACGACCUAGAUUUGGUGGUUUCUGAAAAUGUGUUUCCAGUAACAUCCAAAGAGGUCAGCCAGGAGGUGAGAAUGAUGGAAGGCAACAAAAUGGAGGUAGGGCCAGGUAGAGAGAAGGCAAUCAAGGAAGAGGAAGACUGGGACAAUUCAACAGGAAAACCGCAGGGCACAGUAGAGGGAGUUGGCACAAUAGUGGCAAAGCAGCCACUUGAACGGGGGUCAGAUAGUGCACCAGAAUAGCUCCGAAUCCCUGAAGAAAAAGCACAAACCAGAGUUGCAGGCCAGAAUGCCAAUGAAGAACAACAACGAAUCACUUAUUUGUGUAAAAUACGAACAGAAAGACAUUGCAGAGGGAGUGUGUGUGACUGAACAACAAUGUGUAGGUGAGAGUGAGAGGCUGCAGAAUGCAACAGAGGUAGGGGCUUUGCCAGUAGAGGGGGAAGAGGAAAAUCCCGUAUGGGUCAAAGCAGGGUAGAAGAGAACGUAGUCAAAGUACAUAUUCAGCAGGGGGUGACGGAGCAAUCUAGGUCAGGCUCGAAAAAGGGCAGUAAGAAAGGAAAAGGCAAGGGGAAUGAGGAGGACUGACGAAUGACCUAGUUUUUAGGUCUGCCCUCAAUAGAAACUGCAAAUAUUUAUGAUAGGAAUUGCAGAGUUUAAACUGCUGGAGCCAAAGCACCUUCAAUUCAAAUGAAUUCCAAAGCAAUCAGAGAGAUGUGUGGGGGUAUUUUAGCUCAUUUCGAUUAACCCUUUACACUCGUACCCGUAUACAGGUUGAAAAUGGCAGAAUUGGGCACUAAUAAGCACCUAAAUUGGGCUGCACAGUAACACACUAUACAUCACAACGCUGUAUGGGGUUUGAUGAACAUCCGUUCUGAACAUGAGCACAGUGGGCGACAGGAAGUUUCCCCCAUUCCUCCCAGUAAUUGGGCAACUUUUGUACAUUUUUGGUUGUCUGAGUGAGGGAAAAGCUCUAAAUUUAAGAUGACUAUGUAUUUUGAAAGAUGAGACGUUGAGGUUUAUAAUAACGCUUUGGUAUCACACAAGCAAGCCAAACACCCGAGUCCAAAAUUUGAACUUCAAAUUUCCAAAUCAUAAAACUCAUGUCAUAUACAGUGUCGAUGUUUGUGAUCACUAUGUUUGAUGUACAGUGGCAAGAUGACAUGGCGUUAUACCCUGGGUUGUUCUGAACAGAAUGAGCUUAUGUUUAUUGUGAAGCAAAUUUGCCAGGGCACAAGCACCUUAAUUCAGUCAUGACUCCUUUCUACGUGCACCAAAGUUUCUCUGAAUUGCCUUGUGAAAGCCUGACACUGUAAGAUUGUAUUUUAUAACUUAGCUUGUGUGACGGCGGGGAUGAAGUGUUGUGUUCCAAAUGAAACGACUGCACGUGGGCUUGCUCUAGUUCCUCAACGGCACAGCUAGGAGAGCCCCGAAAAGUACCUUGUAGUUGAAGACUCGUCUUUGUGUCAUGAAAGUGCAUUGGAAAUGGCUUAGGAACUGUGCACACUUUGGAGAGGUGUAUGGCCACCUCAAAUCAAAUUUAGUUUGUCACAUACACGUGGUUAACAGAUGUUAAUGCGAGUGUAGCGAAAUGCUUGUGCUUGUAGUUCCGACCGUGCAGUAAUAUCUAACAAGUAAUCUAACAGUUUCGAAACUCCGAGACAAUGGAGACACCAGUUAGUCCUCUCACUCAAACCCUUGUCAUUUUUGGGGGUAUUAUGUUGCAGCUACCCCACAUUCUCCAGGAAUAGUCUUAUGUUACUGAAUUUGUUAACAAAUGCGGCGAAAAGUACAGUAAAUGUAAAAUGCACAUAAAAUCAGUGUAAUUUUAGGAUUCAGUAUUGUCAGAUGAACAGUUGUGUACUCACCGUUGGUCUAAUAACUGUCCCAUCUCUAAACUCUUCCUUUUCAAUUGCUACCAAACUUCAAUUUAUCCUUAUCCAUAUAGGCCAAUUCCCACGAGUGUAAAGGGUUACACCAUUUUUUUAGGUGAAAUGCUGUGCAGAAUCAUCUAUAAUUGUCUUGAUGUUGUUCUAUAUUAUCUUGAAUAGAUGUUAAUGUGCAUGACAUCCUGUAGAUCAACAUGGGUAAAAUGAUGUUGAGUAGACAAUUUCAGCGGAUUAUGUAUUUAUUUUGUUAUUUCUUUUAACUAUGCUUAUGUCCCUGUAUUAUUGUCCUUUAUAUUGUACAAUGCGUUUUCCUAUGUGAAAUGCACCAUUAGCGUUUUCUGCUUAAGUGCUUUGGGAAGUUGGUCAUAAAAUGGGAUGGGUAAUCUUACCAUGCAGACUUUUUCCCCAAAUAAGCAGUAACUCAACUGAUUCAACUAAGAAAGCUAGUUGUAGGAGUUAAGUAGAAUCCAUCAGGUGUGUUACUGCUUGCCUGGAACACAUUGGCCCUGGCAGGGUACAUUUCCCAUACUCUCAUAUAAGCACCUAUAUAAUGUAAUAAUAUUGAUUUGAUUUGAAUUAUUUUUUAUUUUUUGCAUCUAUUCAAGGGGCGCAUGAUAAAAUAUCUAUAUAUUGUGUAAUUACCAAGAGAAACAAAUACUGUAGCAAUUAAUUGCACAUCAUUUAUUGCAAUACCUUUCAUCUUCACAAUGUCAAAAUGUUACCCAGAACUAAAAAAUAUAUUUACUAGCGUUGGUGGUAUAGGUAGGAAAAAGCGUUUGAAGAAAAAACGAACAGAUGGGAUUGUCUCAAGUCUCUCAUGCCAUAAAAUAAUUGGCUGAAAAAUCCUCCUUGUUACAAGUCAAUUCCAUGUAGGUUAUGUCAGGUGAAAUCCAAGCCCUGGGCUAUUACUGUAUGUGCAAACUGUAAAAUUGCAUUGUGUUUAGUAUACAGAGCAUUCAGACCCCUUUAUUUUUCCCACAUUUUAUGUUACAGCCUUUUUCUAAAAUUGAUUAAAUUGUUUUUUCCCCUCAUCAAUCUACAUACAAUACCCCAUAAUGACAAAGCAAAAAAAAAAAAAAACUGAAUGUUUUCAAAUGUAUUAAAAUAAAAAAAUGAAUUAUCACAUUUACAUAAGUAUUCAGACCCUUUACUCGUUACUUUGUUGAAGUACCUUUGGCAGCGAUUACAGCCUUGAGUCUUCUUGGGUAUGACACUUCAAGCUUAGCACACCUGUAUUUGGGGAGUUUCUCCCAUUCUUCUCUGCAGAUCCUCUCAAGCUCUGUCAGGUUGGAUGGGGGAGCGUUGUGUUGUGGAAAUUCUAAUCAAUAAUGAGGAGAGACGAGGUCAAUCACCAAUCAGGAUAUUACUUUAUUCAAGACGUAUUAAUAACAUAGAUUAAUUAUUGCAAUAAUGAAGCUGGUCGACGACCCACUCGUAGGUUAUUCGUUGAGAGCCCAACGAGCAGAUUUGAUCCACAGCAUUUUAUAGCAAAGUACAUCCUCCUGAAUGUUCAUGACAAACAACAGAUGUAUGGAAUGGGUCACAAGGUUAGGAUCUGUAUGAAUGAUACUAAUCAUUUACAGCAGGCAGUAUCUGCUGUAAAGACUGUUCUCAUUGUGUAGAACCCCAUACCUAAGCCAUCUCUCCCUGGUACCUUCCAGUCAAACCGUAAUCAUCUUCCUCACAUGAAUGGAAUAUGGCCUAAGGCAUUGUAAAUCUACUGGAAGGAUUUAGCCCCAGAGGCCCAAUUUUAGAACACCACGCACAGAUGAGUGUUCCAAAAAAAAACAUUCUACUCCAUAAAACAACCAUUUGAUGCAAUAACAGCAUUAUAACAUAAUCUUGUAAUUUCACUAUCAGUCGCUGCACAGCUAUUUUCUGGUCUCCAGAGAUGUUCAAGUCCGGGCUCUGGCUGGGUCACUCAAGGACAUUCAGAGACUUGUCCCGAAGCCACUCCUGCAUUGUCUUGGCUGUGUGCUUAGGGUUGUUGUCCUGUUGGAAGGUGAACCGUCACCCCAGUUUGAGGUCAUGAGAGCUCUGGAGCAGGUUCUUAAAAAGUAUCUCUCUGUACUUUGCUCCGUUCAUCUUUCCCUCGAUCCUGACUAGUCUCCCAGUCCCUGUCGUUGAAAAACAUCCCCACAGCCUGAUGCUGCCACCACCAUGCUUAACCGUAUGGAUGGUGCCAGGUUUCCUCCAGACGUGGUGCUUGGCAUUCAGGCCAAAGUGUUCAAUCUUGGUUUCAUCCGACCAGAGAAUCUUGUUUCUCAUGGUCUAAGAGUCUUUACGUGCCUUUUGGCAACUCUAAGCGGGCUGUCAUGUGCCUUUUUACUGAAGAAUGACUUUUGUCUGGCCACUCCACCAUAAAGGCCUGAUUGGUGGAGUGCUGCAGAGAUGGUUGUCCUUCUGGAAGGUUCUCCCAUCUCCACAGGGGAGCUCUGACAAGCUCCAGACUGCCCAUCGGGUUCUUUGUCACCUCCCUGACGAAGGCCCUUCUCCCCCGAUUGCUCAGUUUGGCCGGGCGGCCAGCUCUAGGAAGGGUCUUGGUGAUUCCAAACUUCUUCCGUUUAAGAAUGAUGGAGACCACUGUGUUCUUGGGAACCUUCAAUGCUGCAGACAUUUUUUGGUACCCUUCACCAGAUCUGUGCCUCAACACAAUCCUGUUUUGGAGCUCUAUGGACAAUUCCUUCGACCUCAUGGCCUGGUUUUUGCUCUGACAUGCGCUGUCAACUGUGGGAGCUUUUAUAUAGACAGGUGUGUGCCUUUCCAAAUAAUGUGCAAUCAAUUGAAUUUGCCACAGGUGGACUCCAAACAAGUUGUAGUAACAUUUCACGGAUGAUCAAUCGAAACAGGAUGCACCAGAGCUCAAUUUGGAUUCUCAUAGCGAAGGGUCUGAAUACUUAUGUAAAUAAGGUAUUACCGUUAUUUUUCAUUAAUUUGCUAAAAUUUCUAAACCUGUUUUCGCUUUGUCGUUAUGGGGUAUUGUUUGUCGACAUUUAUUAAAAUCCAUUUUAGAAUAAGGCUGUAACGUAGCAAAAUGUGGAGAAAGUCGAGGGGUCUGAACCUUUCCGAAGGCACUGCAUGCCAUGUGUGCUGAAUUCAUAUAAUGAUAUGACUGCUAGACAAAUUGUACACUGUGUAAGAAUAUGACUCCUUUGUUAAUCUCUGGUCUAAAUGUGUCUUCAUGUGCACUUUUUGUAAGGAAAUACCUUGACCCUUUUCCUUAAUGAAUAAAAGAUCCGCCUGAGGAAGCUGGUUGACGAGCGGGAGAACUUGAUAGGACAGGUGAAGAAACUGAAGGCCCAAGUAGAGCAG